rnacentral:rRNA from 1 species
CGGUGACGAGGUAGCGAACUCUACCAAAGCCGGUCUCAGUUCGGAUCGGAGUCUGCAACUCGACUCCGUGAAGCUGGAUUCGCUAGUAAUCGGAUAUCAGCAAUGAUCCGGUGAAUACGUUCCCGGGCCUU